UUCAGUUUUAGCUUCAAUUAUGUUUGGGAUUUGCACAAUGGAAUGCCAGGUUUCAUCUGUCAUAUAUUGCAUGAACGUCUCACAAUCAGAAGGUAGUUGAUAUUCUCUACACUUUUAUCGAUUUUGUUAUUUGAAGUCUCUCUGAUUACACCUCUUUUUGGUUGUUGCUAGGCUGGGAAAAAUAUUUUUGGUUCUUCAGAGGAAGACAGAGGUAUGCCCUCUAUAUCUCCUUAUAUGUUGAUGCUAAUAUAUUUUGGUGUAAAACUACAUGUUUGACAUUUCUCUGAUCAAUCCAGUCCCUGAUUUAUGUCUAAUAUGCCUAGCUGUUGGCAGAUGACCAUGGCCUGGAUGUUAUUGUUUCACACAUUAGAUGUUCUUUUUCCAGGAGAUUCAGGUCUAGUUUCUCUCAAUUACGAGUCCUAAUAUCCAUAUGGCAUUACUGGAGCUAGCAUAGCCAUGGAAUGCAUGCAUGUGUUUAAUACUUUGUUGCUUUGACAAUUGGCAUGAGCUUUUUCUUCAAUGGCUUCAACCCAAUUUUCAAAAGUUGGUAAUGGGAUCUAUUUCAUUUGAGUCGUUACCAAGUGGUGGAAGACAUCACAUAUAAAUAUAAUGAUCCUCUCUUCCUGUGCAUCUGGGAUGAGGUUGAAAUUUGUCAUUCUAUAUGCAGCCCCGAUGAUUUCAAGAUAGCUAUUUAGUGCCUUUUUAAAAAAAAAUUACUCUUUAGUGACUGUCUUCUGAUGAUCGUCCUAUUGCAUAUUGUAAUCUUAUAAUACUGUUAGGUGAAACAUGUUCUUUGCUGUUUCCUAGCAUGUCACUCAAAAACCUUUUUCUCCCGGAAUUAUCAUCAUUUCAUUCUUCA
rnacentral:lncRNA from 1 species